GGGUGCGCGGCCGCGUGGCCGUGCAGGGAUCUCGGACGGUCGGGCCGCCGUCC
rnacentral:ncRNA from 12 species